rnacentral:rRNA from 1 species
GAUGAACGCUGGCGGCGUGCCUAAUACAUGCAAGUCGAACGAGUUCUCGUUGAUGAUCGGUGCUUGCACCGAGAUUCAACAUAGAACGAGUGGCGGACGGGUGAGUAACACGUGGGUAACCUGCCCUUAAGUGGGGGAUAACAUUUGGAAACAGAUGCUAAUACCGCAUAGAUCCAAGAACCGCAUGGUUCUUGGCUGAAAGAUGGCGUAAGCUAUCGCUUUUGGAUGGACCCGCGGCGUAUUAGCUAGUUGGUGAGGUAAUGGCUCACCAAGGCGAUGAUACGUAGCCGAACUGAGAGGUUGAUCGGCCACAUUGGGACUGAGACACGGCCCAAACUCCUACGGGAGGCAGCAGUAGGGAAUCUUCCACAAUGGACGCAAGUCUGAUGGAGCAACGCCGCGUGAGUGAAGAAGGCUUUCGGGUCGUAAAACUCUGUUGUUGGAGAAGAAUGGUCGGCAGAGUAACUGUUGUCGGCGUGACGGUAUCCAACCAGAAAGCCACGGCUAACUACGUGCCAGCAGCCGCGGUAAUACGUAGGUGGCAAGCGUUAUCCGGAUUUAUUGGGCGUAAAGCGAGCGCAGGCGGUUUUUUAAGUCUGAUGUGAAAGCCCUCGGCUUAACCGAGGAAGCGCAUCGGAAACUGGGAAACUUGAGUGCAGAAGAGGACAGUGGAACUCCAUGUGUAGCGGUGAAAUGCGUAGAUAUAUGGAAGAACACCAGUGGCGAAGGCGGCUGUCUGGUCUGUAACUGACGCUGAGGCUCGAAAGCAUGGGUAGCGAACAGGAUUAGAUACCCUGGUAGUCCAUGCCGUAAACGAUGAAUGCUAGGGUGUUGGAGGGUUUCCGCCCUUCAGUGCCGCAGCUAACGCAUUAAGCAUUCCGCCUGGGGAGUACGACCGCAAGGUUGAAACUCAAAGGAAUUGACGGGGGCCCGCACAAGCGGUGGAGCAUGUGGUUUAAUUCGAAGCAACGCGAAGAACCUUACCAGGUCUUGACAUCUUUUGAUCACCUGAGAGAUCAGGUUUCCCCUUCGGGGGCAAAAUGACAGGUGGUGCAUGGUUGUCGUCAGCUCGUGUCGUGAGAUGUUGGGUUAAGUCCCGCAACGAGCGCAACCCUUAUGACUAGUUGCCAGCAUUUAGUUGGGCACUCUAGUAAGACUGCCGGUGACAAACCGGAGGAAGGUGGGGAUGACGUCAAAUCAUCAUGCCCCUUAUGACCUGGGCUACACACGUGCUACAAUGGAUGGUACAACGAGUUGCGAGACCGCGAGGUCAAGCUAAUCUCUUAAAGCCAUUCUCAGUUCGGACUGUAGGCUGCAACUCGCCUACACGAAGUCGGAAUCGCUAGUAAUCGCGGAUCAGCACGCCGCGGUGAAUACGUUCCCGGGCCUUGUACACACCGCCCGUCACACCAUGAGAGUUUGUAACACCCGAAGCCGGUGGCGUAACCCUUUUAGGGAGCGAGCCGUCUAAGGUGGGACAAAUGAUUAGGGUGAAG